rnacentral:rRNA from 1 species
UACAGAGGUCCCAAGCGUUGUUCGGAUUCACUGGGCGUAAAGGGUGCGUAGGUGGCGGGGUAAGUCGGAUGUGAAAUCUCGGAGCUCAACUCCGAAAUGGCAUUGGAAACUACCCUGCUAGAGGGUCGGAGGGGGGACUGGAAUACUUGGUGUAGCAGUGAAAUGCGUAGAUAUCAAGCGGAACACCGGUGGCGAAGGCGAGUCCCUGGACAACACCUGACACUGAGGCACGAAAGCUAGGGGAGCAAACAGG